GGGGAUGUUUGGCUUCGACGGGGAGAUGAGGUCGUCGGUUGCGAGUCGAGCCGCCCAGUCUCGUUAAAGGGGCAAAGCCAUUAACUGGCAUCAAGUCUGUUUUCGCUCAGCCUCGCGCUGUAGCGAUGGCUGCCUAAUUAGGUAGCUCGCUCCCCUAUCCUCAGCUCGAUGGGAUAGGCUGAGCGUCAGCAAGUCGAGCUGCUGCGAUCGUGAUCGCCUGCUAGCGGUCGCAAAAGAUAAGUGGGCUGGUCUUUCCAAUCGCCUGGUCUGUUGAGCGAGGAAAGACGAGAGCUAAUCAAUAGUCUACACUCGUAGAUAUCGCCGGUCAAACUUUCCGGACGCGGGUUCGAAUCCCGCCAUCUCCACCA
rnacentral:tmRNA from 1 species